AGAAAGAAAAGAAAAACUGCUAUGAUUAAAUAAUGAGUAUCGACACAAAGUUAUAACCGGCAUUAGGAGAAAUGAGCAACAGGAGACGGAAUGGAGAUUUACACGGUGGUUGACAUGAGAAAAAUAAAUAAUAAAUCCCUGUUUGGAACUGAUUGGAUUACGAACUGGCGGUCCAGUGGAGUGUUGGGUUCUGGCUCUGUCUCCUCCGGACUGGUUUCCCGGCUCUGCCCAGUUCCGCGGCGCGACAGGCGCUCCAGGGUGCAGUGGGGAACCCCUACCCCCAGACCCAGUCUGCAGGGCCCACACCGCGAGGGUUUCCGGGCAGUGGCGUUUCGGCCAUAUGUCCCGCUCCUGGCACUGUGGUCCGUCGGCCCCUGGCUGGAGAGAGAGGGAGCCAGCAGCUCCAGGAGCGGCUCUCUGUGUGUGGGUGGAACCGGCUCAGGUACUGGAUCUGGAUCUGGAACCGGCUCAGGUACUGGAUCUGGAACUGAACUGGAACCGGAUCCGACUCAAGUUGUGGAUCUGGAUCUGGAUCUGGCUCUGGCUCUGGGUGUGAAUCCUGCUCCGGUUCUGGUUGUGGUUCGGGAUCUGGAUCUGGAUCCAGCUCUGACUUGAGCAGGACUUGAGCAGGAGUUGAGGAGGACGUUAGCAGGACGUGAGCAGGACUCAAGCAGGAUGUGAGCAGGAGUUGAGCAGAGUUUAGCAGGAGUUGAACAGGACCUGAGCAGGAGUUGAGCAGAGUUUAGCAGGAGUUGAACAGGACGUGAGCAGGAGUUGAGCAGGAGUGGAGCAGGAUGCAAGCAGGACUCG
rnacentral:lncRNA from 1 species